rnacentral:rRNA from 1 species
CGGGCCUUGUAUACACCGCCCGUCACACCAUGGGAGUGGGUGGUACCAGAAGGCGGUAGGCUAACCCGUAAGGGGGCCGCUGACCACGGUACGAUUCAUGACUGGGGUG